GAUUGAGAAACUCCCUCCCACUAACAGGCUGGGGAGGACGCUGCGACUCCCCUUCCGAGGAAAGCGGAGGGCGGCCCCGCCGUCAAUUCCGCAGGCCCGGACCGGGGGCUUUUCUAGCCUACUCCAGGAGGCUUGGCCAAGGAACUAUGAGGCCGCCCAUGCCUGCUCUCUCGGCUGCCCGCAAGAGGCCCUCCCGAACUCAUCACGCCCGAGCCCAAGCAGCCGGGUAACCAGCCCUCCGUAAGCCGUACUCACCUGUCAGGAAGCGGCAGCCCAGGAGCCAUCUUAAGACCCCAGUCAACAUCGCGCCUUCUCAUUGGCUCCUGUGUCUCAGCCAAUGGGCUGGGGCCGUUCUGGCCUUAAGGUCGCUAGGGCAACCGGCCUCGCGGGGUUUCCCUUUUUAGUACGCCCGAAGGAGGUAACUUCAACAAUGGAGGCUGCUUCAGGCUUCUCAGUAUCGUUGAUGACCUGAGGGCACGUGACCCAGGAAUGUGCAUCCAAAGAUAAUACUACCUUCAGAGAACUCUACUUAUAGCAGAAACAGGACUCUUUCUUCCUGUGCGAACAGCCUGGCGGCAACCAUCUUGCACAACAUUCUCAGCCCCUGGCUUUGAAGUCUUGCGAGUUGCCUAAGAGCGCAGGCUGCACAGCUGGAAACCUGGAGGUUUCUGCUACCUCGACCGCCCUCUGCUGGGUGGACCGACGGCUGUGUAGGAGGUGGUCCACAAACAGCCGGAAGGCUUCCCCUUAAGGACUCCUAGAGGGCCCCAUUGGGACAGCUCAUUCACAAUCUGAUGCUCCAGACGAAGCUGGAUGCCUGAUGACUAAAGGCAAGUGGGCAUUGCGAGGUACACACAUCAGCCUGAGCACAGCGGCCAAGAGUCCAUGCUUGUCAGGAUAAUGCAGCCAGCUGUGGCCACACACAACUCCUGACAUCUCAGUAGCUUUAUACAGCUAAGUCCAUUUCUUAUUCAUGCUAUCUGGGUUGGAUGACUCUGCAGGACAUCUCUCCUCCACACAGUCACUCAGGAACCCAGGCUGCUUCUAGCUCAGGAUUCUGUAAUGCAUCGUACUAUGCAUAUCUCCAUGGUUACGGCUGAGGGGAAAAAGUGGGAGGGAAGGAUGAAAUGCCCAGUUUUCCAUCACAAAUCUGUCAUUAAAGAGCUGUGAAGCAUUCUGUAGACACUUAA